UCCCGGCCAUCUUGCUGCAACAAACGAAUAAGAUCCUUGAGGGCAGGAAUUCCACUAGAUUUACAGCCAGCAUCAAGGAUGUCGCCUGGGUAGGCAAUGCGUAUUGGUGGAAUGAAUGCACCACUUUGAUUCUGCUGCCUAGCACGGAAUACAGUGCUCUCGUGAUGAUCUGAGCAAGGCCCAAGGCUGCAAAGCUCUUCCCUUUUUCUCCCUUUACCUUCUUGGCUUUGGGAGAUU